rnacentral:lncRNA from 1 species
CGCAUUCUCUCAUGGACACUUCCUGGGGCAGCCUUUUGCAAAUUGCUCAUCUAACAAUCGAGAAAAUGAGGAAGGUGUUUACUUCAAAAUAAUCUUAGAAAUUGACAACAUGAAAUGAGGCUUGUGGAUCAAAUGAUUAUCAGAAGACCAAGGAGUCAAGAAGAAAUAGCUACAGAAGAUAGAAAGGACCAAGUUUAAUCUUCCUGUAAAUUCUAAAUCCUGCAAUGUACACAUCAGACUGAACAUACAAGAUUAAAAGGUAACUGCCUCUACUGAAGAAGGGAGAGUCAAUAGCCUUUGGAAAGAUGCUCAGGAGGGAAUCAGGUGGGGGAUAUUGAUGAGAGGAACGCCUAGUACACCAGACCCACUAGUUCAGAGAUAUGUUAGGGAUGUUGCCUCCAUCCUCUCUCCUAACUCUCAUAUUGACUCAUAAGAGC